rnacentral:rRNA from 1 species
UACGGGGGGGGCAAGCGUUGUUCGGAAUUACUGGGCGUAAAGCGCGCGUAGGCGGCUUUGCAAGUCGGGUGUGAAAUCCCCAGGCUUAACCUGGGAACUGCAUUCGAGACUGCAUUGCUAGAGUAUGGGAGAGGGAAGUGGAAUUUCCGGUGUAGCGGUGAAAUGCGUAGAUAUCGGAAGGAACAUCAGUGGCGAAAGCGACUUCCUGGACCAAUACUGACGCUCAUGUGCGAAAGCGUGGGGAUCAAACAGG